rnacentral:rRNA from 1 species
UACAGAGGGUGCGAGCGUUGUUCGGAAUUACUGGGCGUAAAGCGCGCGCAGGCGGCUUCCUAAGUCCGUCGGUGAAAGACCGGGGCUCAACCCCGUGUCAGCCAUGGAUACUGGGAGGCUGGAGACAGGUAGAGGCAAGCGGAAUUCCGGGUGUAGCGGUGGAAUGCGUAGAUAUCCGGAAGAACACCGGAGGCGAAGGCGGCUUGCUGGACCUGGUCUGACGCUGAGGCGCGAAAGCGUGGGGAGCGAACAGG